UACGUAGGGUGCGAGCGUUAAUCGGAAUUACUGGGCGUAAAGCGUGCGCAGGCGGUUCGUUAAGUCAGCUGUGAAAGCCCCGGGCUCAACCUGGGAAUUGCGGUUGAAACUGGCGAACUAGAAUCUGGCAGAGGGGGGUGGAAUUCCACGUGUAGCAGUGAAAUACGUAGAGAUGUGGAGGAACACCGAUGGCGAAGGCAGCCCCCUGGGCUGAGAUUGACGCUCAGGCACGAAAGCGUGGGGAGCAAACAGG
rnacentral:rRNA from 1 species